rnacentral:rRNA from 1 species
AUCGAACGCUGGCGGCAGGCCUAACACAUGCAAGUCGAGCGGUUGAGGUAGCUUGCUACCGAUGCAGCGGCGGACGGGUGAGUAAUACAUGGGAAUCUGCCUGGUAGUGGGGGACAACGUUUCGAAAGGAACGCUAAUACCGCAUACGCCCUACGGGGGAAAGGGGGGAGUCGCAAGACCUCUCGCUAUCAGAUGAGCCC